GACCCGUCUUGAACCAAGGAGUCUAGCAUGCACGCAAGUCAUUGGGACAUGAUUAAACCUAAAGGCGUAAUGAAAGUGAAAGUCCGCCUAGCGCGGACUCAGGGAGGAUGGGUGGUCCUCUGUGGACCGCCUCGCACUCCCGGGGCGUCUCGUUCUCAUUGCGAGAAGAGGCGCACCAAGAGCGUACACGCUGGGACCCGAAAGAUGGUGAACUAUGCCUGGUCAGGACGAAGUCAGGGGAAACCCUGAUGGAGGUCCGUAGCGAUUCUGACGUGCAAAUCGAUCGUCGGAACUGGGUAUAGGGGCGAAAGACUAAUCGACCAUCUAGUAGCUGGUUCCUUCCGA
rnacentral:rRNA from 1 species